GUGUCAGCAGCCGCGGUAAUACAGAGGAUGCAAGCGUUAAUCGGAAUUACUGGGCGUAAAGCGCGCGUAGGUGGUUUGUUAAGUUGGAUGUGAAAUCCCCGGGCUCAACCUGGGAACUGCAUUCAAAACUGACUGACUAGAGUGUGGUAGAGGGUGGUGGAGUUUCCUGUGUAGCGGAGAAAUGCGUAGAUAUAGGAAGGAACACCAGUGGCGAAGGCGACCACCUGGACCAACACUGACACUGAGGUGCGAAAGCGUGGGGAGCAAACAGGAUUAGAUACCCGCGUAGUCC
rnacentral:rRNA from 1 species